GCUCGGCUAGCUCAGUUGGUUAGAGCGUCGUACUAAUAUAAUCCUUCACGGGUUAUAUCAAGUUAAUGCGAAGGUCCUCAGUUCAAUCCUGUGGCUGAGCA